AGGGCAUGAGUUGAUAGAAGCAUUGUGGAAAAACCCAACCAUGUAAUCCCAGGCAGUACCAGUGGCAGUCAUUAAGUCAUCACCUACAAAAUCAGGAAACCAGAAGGCAGAGCUUUGUUCAGAAGAAGGAAUACUAUGCGCUGAAUCUGUGUCACAGUUUCUGGCAUUUUGGAGGUUUCAUAAAGGAUGUAGGAGGAGGAAGUCUGGGAACAGCUGUCCAGAAAAAUGGCCACCUAUCAAUAAUUACUUCCUUCAAAAUGUGUUCAAAACCCCCACAUACGAUGUCAAUAGGAUUCACUAGCUUGUGGCUAGCUUCUUCAGCUAAUGGAUGACAGAGAAUAUUGCCUGAAUCUAUUAUAUACGUAUGAACACCAAAUUCCUAGAUUGCAGGACCAGCCCAAUUCUUUGCUCUGCUGGAAGUCAUCUUAAGAGGUUGCUUGACAUGGGCCUCAGGAAUGCCUUGUGGAACUUCAGCACUCAGCUCUCACUCUGUCAUCACAGCUGUGCAGAAAGGGGUGGACGGCUGCAUCUGG